AGCCUGAACGCUGGCGGCGUGGCUAAGACAUGCAAGUCGUACGGGUGUAGCAAUACACCAGUGGCGAACGGGUGAGUAAUGUAUCGCUAAUGUGCCCCGGAUUCUGGGAUAGCUAUCCGAAAGGGUAGGUAAUACCAGAUGAUAUAACUUUGCCGCAUGGCAGAGUUCUCAAAGGAGUAAUCCGCUCUGGGAGCAGGCGAUAUCGUAUCAGCUAGUUGGUGAGGUAACGGCUCACCAAGGCGACGACGCGUAGCCGGACUGAGAGGUUGGCCGGCCACAUUGGGACUGAGACACUGCCCAGACUCCUACGGGGGGCUGCAGUAACGAAUCUUCCGCAAUGCACGAAAGUGUGACGGAGCGACGCCGCGUGUGGGACGAAGCCCUUCGGGGUGUAAACCACUGUCAGGGGUUAGAAAGUUCUGAUCAACCCCAGAGGAAGGCACGGCUAACUCUGCGCCAGCAGCCGCGGU
rnacentral:rRNA from 1 species